rnacentral:rRNA from 1 species
UACGGGGGGGGCAAGCGUUGUUCGGAAUUACUGGGCGUAAAGGGCUCGUAGGCGGCCAACUAAGUCAGACGUGAAAUCCCCAGGCUCAACCUGGGAACUGCGUCUGAUACUGGAUGGCUUGAAUUCGGGAGAGGGAUGCAGAAUUCCAGGUGUAGCGGUGAAAUGCGUAGAUAUCAGGAGGAACACCGGUGGCGAAGGCGGUUCUCUGGGCAUGUCCUGACGCUGAGGAGCGAAAGUGUGGGGAGCGAACAGG